UGGGGUAUCGUCCAACGGUAGGACAUCUGACUUUGGAUCAGGUGAUCGGGGUUCGAAUCCCUGUACCCCAGCCA
rnacentral:tRNA from 1 species